UACAGAGGUCUCAAGCGUUGUUCGGAUUCAUUGGGCGUAAAGGGUGUGUAGGUGGCGCUGUAAGUCGGGUGUGAAAUUUCGGAGCUUAACUCCGAAACUGCAUUCGAUACUGCGGUGCUUGAGGACUGGAGAGGAGACUGGAAUUCAUGGUGUAGCAGUGAAAUGCGUAGAGAUCAUGAGGAAGACCAGUGGCGAAGGCGGGUCUCUGGACAGUUCCUGAUACUGAGACACGAAGGCCAGGGGAGCAAACGGG
rnacentral:rRNA from 1 species